UACGUAGGGGGCAAGCGUUGUCCGGAUUUAUUGGGCGUAAAGAGCGUGUAGGCGGCCAACUAAGUCAGACGUGAAAUCCCUCGGCUUAACCGGGGAACUGCGUCUGAUACUGGAUGGCUUGAGUUUGGGAGAGGGAUGCGGAAUUCCAGGUGUAGCGGUGAAAUGCGUAGAUAUCAGGAAGAACACCCGUGGCGAAGGCGGCUCACUGGACCGUUGUUGACGCUGGAGGUGACGAAAGGCGUGGGGAGCAAACAGG
rnacentral:rRNA from 1 species